rnacentral:sRNA from 3 species
GUAAGCCCUAAACCCACACACGUGUCGACACGAUGACCUGGGUGCCCCGGAUUCUAGAAUCUGUGGGUUGGUCAUUGGGAUGCGUGGAGGCCCAACC